rnacentral:rRNA from 1 species
UUGAGUAAUCGAGAUUAUGGUUAGUGGCGUAAGGGUGAGGAAUGAAUAGGUAACGUACCCCGAAGUCCGGGAUAGCGUCUGAAUGCUUCGGCAUUCUUCCGAAAGGGGCAGUAAUACCGGAUGAUAUCAUCGCAUCUAAGUGCGGUGAUCAAAGAUUUAUCGCUUUGGGAGCGGCCUAUUUCCUAUCAGCUUGUUGGUGAGGUAAUGGCUCACCAAGGCAACGACGGGUAGCGGGACUGAGAGGUUGACCCGCCACAUCGGGACUGAGACACUGCCCGGACCUCCACGGAGGGCUGCAGUAACGAAUAUUGUGCAAUGAACGAAAGUUUGACACAGCGACGCCGCGUGUAGGAAGAAGCCUUUCGGGGUGUAAACUACUGUCAGGGGUUAGAAAGUGCGCUUCGGCGCAUUGAUCAGCCCCAGAGGAAGUCACGGCUAACUUCGUGCCAGCAGCCGCGGUAAUACGAAGGUGGCGAGCGUUGUUCGGAAUCACUGGGCUUAAAGCGCGCGUAGGCGGAAAUUCAAGUGUCCUGUGAAAUCCCCCGGCUCAACCGGGGAACUGCGGGGCAAACUGGAUUUCUUGAGGCAAGUAGGGGUACAUGGAACUCUUAGUGGAGCGGUGGAAUGCGUAGAUAUUAAGAGGAACGCCGAUGGUGAAGACAGUGUACUGGGCUUGUCCUGACGCUGAGGUGCGAAAGCGUGGGGAGCGAACGGGAUUAGAUACCCCGG